rnacentral:tRNA from 1 species
GUUCUUGUAGUUGAAUAACAACGGUGAUUUUUCAGAUCAUAGGUCUUGGCAAUGUGCUAGGUAGGAAUU